AUCUUUGCGCUUGGGGCAACGUCGCUGCUCAUGACUUCCGAAGGAGGCGCGACUUUUGCUGGUUGAAAACUUACUGUCCAAACCCCAAGAGGAGUUUCAUAACUCCUUCUUAAUUGCUGGAGCCCUGACGGGC
rnacentral:snRNA from 1 species